UGCCCGAAAGGGAGCCUGGACACAGGUGCUGCAUGGCUGUCGUCAGCUCGUGUCGUGAGAUGUUGGGUUAAGUCCCGCAACGAGCGCAACCCUUGUCAUUAAUUGCCAUCAUUUAGUUGGGCACUUUAAUGAGACUGCCGGUGACAAACCGGAGGAAGGUGGGGAUGACGUCAAGUCCUCAUGGCCCUUAUGGGUAGGGCUUCACACGUCAUACAAUGGUCGGUACAGAGGGUUGCCAAGCCGCGAGGUGGAGCCAAUCCCAGAAAGCCGAUCGUAGUCCGGAUCGCAGUCUGCAACUCGACUGCGUGAAGUCGGAAUCGCUAGUAAUCGCGGAUCAGCAUGUCGCGGUGAAUACGUUCCCGGGUCUUGUACACACCGCCCGUCACACCAUGGGAGUGGGUUCUACCAGAAGUAGUUAGCCUAACCGUAAGGAGGGCGAUUACCACGGUAGGAUUCAUGACUGGGGUGAAGUCGUAACAAGG
rnacentral:rRNA from 1 species